CUGGCCGGCGGCAGCAGUAGCCGUGUGCGGGCGGCUAGCCCGCUCCCGGUGGCCACGGGCAGCAGUGUGGGCUGCCCACCCCAAACCUCGACUCGCCCCAGGGCCUCCUCCUCCUCCACCACCACCACCACGACGCCCCUGGUGAGAAGGAGCACUAGGGAACAUGUCGUCGUCAUCCGUGCAUGACAAGCGGCCUUUGCCAAAGCCUCUUCUGACUUCUGUACACUUGCUAGAGAUACGGGAGGCGGCAGCCUCAUCUUCUUCCUUUGCAUUUGACAAGCGCUCACUUCAGCUGUAUUUGCAUCCCUGCUGCCUGUUUGCUCAGGUUUCCUAUCCGGAAGAGGAGAAAGGACUCUCCACAUCAUCCAUCUGCUUCUUGAUCCUCCUGUUUCUGUGGCUGCCAUUUUGAAAAAGCACCAAGCUUCAUGAAAAACUCAGUAUAAUUAGAAGAUCCCAGAAGAACCUGGAUCUUCUGAUAGAGAUGCAGCCAGAUCGGAUUGCACCGUGAGUACAGGAGAAGUGAAAGAUUUGGAAACGAGGGGGGAAAUAUCCAAGAAGAAAUGGAACACAGAGCAGGUGGGAGAAAAGAUAAGCUAUCAGAGAUAGAAGCUAAAGGAAAGGAUAAUAGGUUCAAACAGAAAUUAAUCUGAGCUCUUCCAGAGGCCUUGUUCUUGGGAGGAAGACAGGACCAGAACUGGGAGGUGCCUGCCUGCUCCCAAUAUAUUGUGGGUCUCGGUCUGAUUUGCAUUUGUUCUGUCCAAUCGGAGCAAGUGGGCAGUACAACCCACAUUCAAGGAUACCCUCCUCCACUGGGGGAGAACUGCAAGAAUACAAUAGGAUAAUAAUGCAUCUUGCGCUUGUCAGAGAACGAGCAGGAGAGAAAUAUUGUAACUGUCUCCUUCUAAGCUUGCAGUUCUGUGAAUCUGAGCAGACAUCACCAUUUCAUAUGCUGCCUCUAGUAAGGCAGGACUUUGUCAGAGAAAAGAGAAGGCACCCACUUGAUCACUGUAGACAGCAUAUCAGUCACUAGCUGUGCCUCCUGUUCUGAACAACUUUCUAGCGCUUGCCAGUUUGGAACAAUUGAGGAUCCUCUCUUGCUUCUGCUCCUGUAUCUGCUCAGAGAUGCUUUAUCUGCAACCUUCUUUCUUGCUGCCUUCUUCUUAAGUUGUCUGGAAAGGAGAACAAUGAGCAUUAAAAUUGCUUCCAAAUGAUGUAUUCAGUGUGCCAUGAGCAUUGGAUUUUGCCUGGCUUAAGUUGUUAAACUUCCCACACCACAGGAGUGGACUGGAAGUCAUCAGAGACUGGUCUUGAUCAAGAUCACUUCACAUAUUGCUUUCUCCAAACCCAACAUAUCCAUGUUAAGAAAAGUAACUAACAUGUAAAGCAGCCUUUCUGCUGAAAUGAUCUGAAGAGUAUGGUUUUCCCAAGGUUGAUUUCCUCAAAAAUGCAGUGCAACACUCUGCAAACCAACAGCAUCCCCAUAAUUGUUUGAGUGGAAAGUAACAUUUCCUUCAGAGAGUUACCAACAUGGAAAGGCAAGAACAAGUGGAAAAAGUCUGCAUUACCGGUAAAGGAAGUGCUGGGGUAGGUCAUCGGAGAAGACGCUCAGAAAAUCAUCAAUUGUGUGGGACCUGGCUGUAACCCCCAGGUGCAUGAAGUAGGGCUUUGGGG